rnacentral:tRNA from 1 species
GCCCUCGUAGCUCAGGGGAUAGAGCAGCUGUCUUCUAAACAGCGGGUCGCGGGUUCGAGUCCUGCCGGGGGUA